UGUCUCUCAGCCACGGGGCUGCUCGGAUGUUUUCCCUCUGCAGCCAGGGCAAGGGACCAAGAGCAUCAUGGGAGGACUGUCGUCGGGGCUGCCCAUAGCUGAGGUUGCCGCGUUUUCCUGCCUCAGACACUU
rnacentral:snoRNA from 1 species